GCUCCGGUGGCCUAGUGGUUAGAGCGUCCGUCCGCCUCGGAUGCGGGAGGUCGUGUGUUCGAUCCCCGGUCGAGUCA